rnacentral:lncRNA from 1 species
AUUUCGAUAAAUGCCACGUUAAUUGGAAAAAGUCCCUAUCCCUCGGGAAAAUGGAGGUGUGAUAGGGUCAAAUAAUACAAAAGCAUUCAUGUGGCAUACUAAAACAAUAUUUGUUAUCACCGUGUCUGAAGCAAUGGCAUCUGAUCUAGCAGGAAGAAAAUAUAUCGGGCUUGAGCGCCACCUAAUUGGACUUCCUCUCUAGGGCGACCCUUAGCUACCUGAGCUCCACCCCGAGCUGGCUGGGCGGGUGAUGACGUAACUGGUGUUGAAGUCGUAGUCUGGCUCCUCUACUGGGUUGGGCCUCCCAAGAAAUUGGGACAGGCCUCCUAAUAUGACUACGCUCUCCAACCCCGAUCUAACACUGGUGAUGGGGACUAAAGGGAGCCCCAAGCAACAUGAUAACUGCUAGAAGAACUUGACAUAGAUAAACCUUGAGCCGAUAGAGCACGGGACGAACUCUGUUCUUGAAAGGCACUGAGAGAUGACUGACCCUGAUAAGAACUGUAUGAACCAUGGCAGGAUGAUGCGCCAGAGUGAACUAGAUGAGCCGUCCCAGCAUGCCUAUAAAGAUGACC